rnacentral:lncRNA from 1 species
GUGAUUUUUCAAAGUUAACCUACUGCUGCUGUCCAAAACUGUUUUAGUGCAAGAUGUUGAUUACUAAAUUUAUAACUCCCUUAUUCCCUUUCUCUAUAAUAUUUCCCAUUAUUUUCACUUAUUUCCCUUCACUAAUAUAUCAAGAACAUAAGACUUUAUUUAAGAAAACUCUACUAUAGCAUCAUUUCCAUACUUUUUCAACAAUAACAAACUUAAAAAUAUAUUAAAAUCUUGAUGUUCUUACCUUAUGCUAUUGAUUUCAAUUUUUAACUUGAUUUUCUCUCGCCUCCAGCUUCUAUUUCUUGAAUCUAACUUGACAUUCUAGCUCCCCAUUGUCUCCUUAUUAUUUUUCUCUCUUGGAAGCUAUGGAAAUUCUUUUGAUUUCUAGGUGAAAAUAGUAAAUUUUUGGUGAAAGAACCAAAUUGUAAAGAAAGCAAAACUUUCUUU